GACACACCGCCUUCCGACUCCCAGGGCCUGAUAACUGCGUCAGUAUGUGCAGUGAUGACAGAUGUGACAGACACCAGCAUGGCUCUCACGGCAUACAUUGUGUUGUUUGUUACAGCCAUCUUCUAUUUCUGGAAAACAUUCCCAGCUGCCUGCAGCACAGCUAGGAGUUACGGGUGAGAUGUUCUGGGAUUGCAGCUGCUGCCAUUUGACACUCAGCCUAUCUCCAUCUUUGUGGAGACAACUGAGCAUAAUACACUGGAUUGGACUUGGAUGUGAGUUUCAGCUCUGUGACUCACUUGCUGAGAAUUUUUUUUUAGGUUUUCUCUCAGAAUUACUAAUUCUGCCCAUUGAUGAUUGCUAAUCUGAAGAUUAUGUUCUAAUUUGAAGCCUUGAAACAUUUUCCUGUUUGAAAAAUGAGGUUAAGAACAGCAUCUGCUGUAUGUGUUUUUGGCUGCACUACUGGAGUUCACCAACAGGGUUUGUGACCCAGGACACUGACUGUCAACAAACGUUCACACAGUAAAAUGACUCUCCUCACUCAGCACCAAGCCCUGUACCUAAAUGUUUCAACAAGCUUCUCUAAAAAGGCUGACCCCUUUUCCCCUUUAUAGUUUUCAGGUUGAUUAUAAACUCCAACUACAAAAUUUCCCUUUCCUACCUGAAGAGGGAUUCUCUAUACUUAUUUCUGGAGUCUUGAUAUAAAAGCUCAUCUUAAUAAAGGUUUAUAUAUUUUUAAUCAAGGAUUUCAGUAAAUAUUCCAUUUGCUCACUGAUGAAACUUUAGACUGUACAUUGCUUAUUAAAUUCUUUAUGUAAAAAUGUGUAACCAUUCUCCUCUGGUGGUAUGAUUUUUAACCUCAGCAAGUCUCAGUUAAUUAUCUGUAGUUUGUAGUAGUGUAAUGUUUGUAGUAGUACCUAUCUCAUAAAGUUGUGAGCAUUAAAUAAAAUAAUAUAUUAAAAAGGCAUAGCUGUCUGUAAUCUGUAGUUUUACCAUUAGCAUUGGCUAGUUGGUUUCUAAUGGAUAAACUAAUUGGUUUCUCCCACUAUGCUCCCCUACUUCCGAUGGAGCAUGAAAGUAGGUUUGCCAACACAGACGGAUGAGUAUCCUGUGGGGCCUGGGAAAGUGGCACCUCAUGGCUGAUGUCUGGGAGACUCAUGUAGGGCCCCAAACCUGAGACACCUCUUACAGGGUUAGAAACUCAGUCCCAAGUUGCAUAAACCGAGACGAGCAAGCCCAACUGAGAAGACGAGAAUUAUGGGGAGCUGCCGGGUCUCCAUCUCAGAAAGAAGUCUUGCUAAGCCCAGGAGGAAGUACACAAUCUUCUCAGACAUUCUCAGCCCAGAAAUGACAUCACCCAAACCAUCCCCUCCAUCCACGCUGAAAUAUUAAAAUAUACCAUGGACUUCUU